rnacentral:tRNA from 1 species
GCCUCGAUGGCGGAACUGGUAUACGCAUACGACUCAAAAUCGUACGGGGAAACCCAUGAGAGUUCGAUUCUCUCUCGAGGCA